AAGUCGAACGAGAAAGUCACUUCGGGUGGCGAGUACAGUGGCGCACGGGUGAGUAACGCGUGGAUAAUCUGCCUUUCGGCCUGGGACAACUCCGGGAAACUGGAGCUAAUACCGGAUAAGACCACGUCGUCUCCGGACGAAGUGGUAAAAGGUGGCCUCUCGUAGAAGCCAUCACCGAUUGAUGAGUCCGCGUACCAUUAGCUUGUUGGUGAGGUAAAAGCUCACCAAGGCUCCGAUGGUUAGCUGAUCUGAGAGGAUGAUCAGCCACACUGGAACUGAGACACGGUCCAGACUCCUACGGGAGGCAGCAGUCGGGAAUUUUGGGCAAUGGGGGCAACCCUGACCCAGCAACUCCGCGUGAGGGAUGAAGGCCCUCGGGUCGUAAACCCCUGUCGGGAGGGAAGAAAGGGCCGGUGGUCAAUAUCCAUCGGUCUUGACGGUACCUCCAAAGGAAGCACCGGCUAACUCCGUGCCAGCAGCCGCGGUAAUACGGAGGGUGCAAGCGUCGUUCGGAAUCAUUGGGCGUAAAGCGGGUGUAGGCGGCUUGGUAAGUCGGGUGUGAAAUCCCUGCGCCCAACCCAGGAACUGCACUCGAAAC
rnacentral:rRNA from 1 species